AAUGUCCUGGGGUGUUCGAGGACCUCGCCAUUUUGCACCUACAGACGAUAAUACGGGAUUCCUAUCAUCCGGACUUCUAUGUCAGGCCUCAAACAGUUCUCAGUGGAAGACAGAAAUUUCCGUGCGGAAACCCACCUGGCCAUGCUGCCGGGAGUCAAUCUGCGAGCAUACGGCACUCUGGGAUUUCA
rnacentral:other from 1 species